GCCCUUAGAGUUUGAUCCUGGCUCAGAUUGAACGCUGGCGGAAUGCUUUACACAUGCAAGUCGAACGGGUUUUGGAGCUUGCUCCAAAGCUAGUGGCGAACGGGUGAGUAAUACGUCGGAAACGUGUCCCGUAGUGGGGGAUAACGCACCGAAAGGUGUGCUAAUACCGCAUAUGCCCCGAGGGGGAAAGCAGGGGGUCGAAAGACCUUGUGCUAUGGGAGCGGCCGACGUCGGAUUAGCUAGUUGGUGGGGUAAAGGCCCACCAAGGCGACGAUCCGUAGCUGGUCUGAGAGGAUGAUCAGCCACUCUGGAACUGAGACACGGUCCAGACUCCUACGGGAGGCAGCAGUGGGGAAUUUUGGACAAUGGGCGAAAGCCUGAUCCAGCCAUUCCGCGUGAGUGAAGAAGGCCUUCGGGUUGUAAAGCUCUUUCGGCAGGGAGGAAACGGCGAACUCUAACAUAGUUUGCUAAUGACGGUACCUGAAGAAGAAGCACCGGCUAACUACGUGCCAGCAGCCGCGGUAAUACGUAGGGUGCGAGCGUUAAUCGGAAUUACUGGGCGUAAAGCGUGCGCAGGCGGUUUUGUAAGUCAGAUGUGAAAGCCCCGGGCUUAACCUGGGAACUGCGUUUGAAACUACAAGGCUAGAGUUUGGCAGAGGGGGGUAGAAUUCCACGUGUAGCAGUGAAAUGCGUAGAUAUGUGGAGGAAUACCGAUGGCGAAGGCAGCCCCCUGGGUCAAAACUGACGCUCAUGCACGAAAGCGUGGGGAGCAAACAGGAUUAGAUACCCUGGUAGUCCACGCCCUAAACGAUGUCAACUAGUUGUCGGGGAGGGUGACCUCUUUGGUAACGCAGCUAACGCGUGAAGUUGAUCGCCUGGGGAGUACGGUCGCAAGAUUAAAACUCAAAUGAAUUGACGGGGAAGGGC
rnacentral:rRNA from 1 species